GACGAACGCUGGCGGCGUGCUUAACACAUGCAAGUCGAACGGAAAGGCCCCUUUGGGGGUCCUCGAGUGGCGAACGGGUGCGUAACACGGGAGUAACCUGCCCUUGACUUCGGGAUAACUUCAGGAAACUGGGGCUAAUACCGGAUAGGAAUCCUUGCUGCAUGGUGGGGGUUGGAAAGCUUCGGCGGUUUUGGAUGGACUCGCGGCUUAUCAGCUUGUUGGUGGGGUAGUGGCUUACCAAGGCUUUGACGGGUAGCCGGCCUGAGAGGGCGACCGGCCACAUUGGGACUGAGAGACGGCCCAGACUCCUACGGGAGGCAGCAGUGGGGAAUAUUGCACAAGGGGCGGAAGCCGGAUGCAGCAACGCCGCGUGCGGGAUGACGGCCUUCGGGUUGUAAACCGCUUUCAGCAGGGGCGAAGCUUGUGGUGACGGUACCUGCAGAAGAAGCACCGGCUAACUACGUG
rnacentral:rRNA from 1 species